GCUCUCUCCAUCAGGAUGUCCUAUGCACUAGUCGAGACUGCCCAAUCUUUUAUCGGAGGAAGAAGGCUCAGAAAGACAUGGCUGAAGCUAAAACUCAAUUAGAUCGGUGGAACUUUUAAAUUUCAAUGCCUGAAGUCUUCAUUGCUGCAAGUCCAACCUUCCAUUUUGCCAAGUAUCGUAAUUCUCUUAACUCUGGUGUGGAAGCAGCAUAAAAGUUUGGGAAUUAACUGAAUAACUGAAACUACUAUGAUGAGGUAGCACAAGUGCCUUAGAGAAGAUGUCGCGAUUGUUCAUGAGGUAGCAAUGUGAAGCUUCCUCAAAUCCAAGAACCAUUAAUAUACACGAAACUUGUCUGCCUCGAUGAGUUUUAACUUCCAAUCGUUUGCUAGAUGAAAUUCGGACAAUCUUUUGUACCUUCUAGCUAGUUGAGAUGACUGUAAGUGUAGACUUGUAUUGAUUUAGAGAUAUAAUAUUGUAUUCUGUACAGUCAUG
rnacentral:misc_RNA from 1 species